ACCCUCUCAGGGUCACAUCUGGAGAGUUUCCAGUACUCUGCCAGUCUCAGCUACGGGAAGGAGAGUCAAACAGAGGCAUACACGUUCUAUUCCUAGCUUGAGCAGUGGCUAGCAAGUAGAAGGCAAUCUGCUACAAGU